GACGAAGGGGGCUAGCGUUGUUCGGAAUUACUGGGCGUAAAGCGCGUGUAGGCGGUUUGCCAAGUCGGGUGUGAAAGCCUUGGGCUUAACCCAAGAAAUGCACUCGGUACUGGCAGACUAGAGGACCGGAGAGGAUAGUGGAAUUCCCAGUGUAGUGGUGAAAUACGUAGAGAUUGGGAAGAACACCAGUGGCGAAGGCGGCUAUCUGGACGGUUUCUGACGCUAAGACGCGAAAGCGUGGGUAGCAAACAGG
rnacentral:rRNA from 1 species